UUUUUUAGUUUAAUCAAGUUGAAAUUUCUUGUUAAAAGGAAUAAAAGAUCCAACUUCAAGCAACCCCCUUGUAUAUAAGGAUACCGUGCUAUUCUGCCUAUAGCAGCAGUCAGGGCAGCAAGGUGUUUUCUUUUCUAUCAGAUUUCAGCAGACUAAUAAAACUCAAAGCCUGAAAAAGGGAGAGAUGAGGUAGUCUCUCCAAACAUGCUCACGUGGAUGGUGCCAGGAAGCCCCUAGGCAAGUAAAAUAACUUCUUUGGAAGCCUCAAAUCACUUUAGCCUCAAAUAAACCUUGACACCCAAGUAGGGGUAUCAGGCAACCCACCAAGGCCAUAUAUAUCUCCGGGUUGCUGUGGAAAAAGAAGGACAGAGUUUCCUAAUCCAGACAUUGAAACACUAAGUGGUACCCUCCCAUUUGUAACCGAUGAGUAUUCACAAGGACAGGUGGGUAAUGGAGGAUGAACAUUCCCUCCCAGCAUU
rnacentral:lncRNA from 1 species